rnacentral:rRNA from 1 species
AUUGAACGCUGGCGGCAUGCUUUACACAUGCAAGUCGAACGGCAGCGCGGGCUUCGGCCUGGCGGCGAGUGGCGAACGGGUGAGUAAUGCAUCGGAACGUGCCCAGUAUUUGGGGAUAGCCCGGCGAAAGCCGGAUUAAUACCGCAUACGACCUGAUGGUGAAAGCGGGGGACCGAAAGGCCUCGCGCUCUUUGAUCGGCCGAUGUCGGAUUAGCUAGUUGGUGGGGUAAAGGCUUACCAAGGCGACGAUCCGUAGCUGGUCUGAGAGGACGACCAGCCACACUGGAACUGAGACACGGCCCAGACUCCUACGGGAGGCAGCAGUGGGGAAUUUUGGACAAUGGGGGCAACCCUGAUCCAGCCAUGCCGCGUGAGGGAAGAAGGCCUUCGGGUUGUAAACCGCUUUUGUUCGGGAAGAAAUCCUCUGGGCUAAUACCCCGGGGGGAUGACGGUACCGGAAGAAUAAGCACCGGCUAACUACGUG